AUUUACUCAAAAUUAGGUAUGCAAAUUAUGCGUUAGUUACCUACAUUAACAAAUUAUACACUGAUAUUGAAGCAAAUUAGAUUUCAGAGGUAGAGGGAUUUUAGUCGGUAGGUCCGAGGACUUCUUCCUCGGAAAUCCGACACUUACCCAGUCGUACGGACGGCUGGGUGUUUUUUGAAUAUUUCCUCUCUUCCAC
rfam:Agrilus planipennis Contig20610, whole genome shotgun sequence.